AUGAUGGAUGAUGAUUUAUUCAAGUUGGACACUGAGCUUUUGGGGGUUUAUUCCGAAGAUGCAACCAAUGAUGACAAGCCCCUGGAGGAUGAACCUCAGAAUGAGCGGACAUGUGAUGAUGAUUUCAAGCACCUGUCACAGAAUGCAGAAGAUCAUGUGCCAGCCUUUGACGAACUUGAUGAAGAUAAUCUGAUGGGGCAGUUAUUUGCCGAGAACCCCCUGGAGCUGGCUAACUAUGCAAAGAAUCACGUGCCAAUGUAUGAUGAACAUGAUGAAGAUGUUCUGACGGGACAAUUAUUCGCUGAGAAUCCCCAGGAGCUGGCUCGGUAUACAGAGAAUCAUGUCCCAAUGUAUGAUAACCAUGGUAUGUAUAAACUCUUUAGUUUGAGGAUGGAUCUGGUCUGA
rnacentral:rRNA from 1 species